GCCGCGCCCGGGCCCUGCGGGAGCUGGAACCGGGAACAGCCUCGGCCGCUGGUCGUGCCGGCCGGGAGCAGCAGCUCCGCACGGUGCGCCCGGUGCUGAUGAGACGUGACACACCGGGCAGGCGCUCCGGGCGGGGCGGGAAUGACGCCGGUGACACCAGCGCAGUGGCAGCGAGUCACGCUGGGUUCUUCUGGAGAAGCUUUUGGGUCUCACCACUGACCUUAUCCUCACCUUUCGAGAAAAAAUGUUGUGGACUAACUAGGAACACUACUAAAUGAUGAGUUAAAAUUCACUGUACAAGUAUUAACAUACAUUAGAGAUACUCAGAAGUGAUGAAGAGAUUCCCAGGAACGAUUUUUCAUUAAAGUGAGCAAUAUUUUAGCAACACAGAGAAGGAAACAUAAAAGCACUCCAAUUUGAACAGAGACAAAAUACAAGGACCUGGGAGCUGCCUUUAAAGAUCAUGAACAUGUGUAGUAAUUCAGCUGAGGGAAACUUCACUUAGAUUGCUAAUACCAGAGAUAGUUUGAGAAUGCUUUUAAAUGAAGAAAAAAGUGCAGUUUUUUUUCUUGUGCCAUCACCUGCUCUGUUGUUCCCUCCUCUGUGACCUUGGUGCAAUCUGUUAAACAGUAGAAAUACUUAAUGUGAGAAGUCCACAAUUUGUAAUAUGGACAAUGUUUGGAGUACAAGGAGCAAGUGGCAGAAGACCUCUUACUUUGAUGGCACUUCACUAGUAUCUUGCUGCAUCUGCUGAUCUCCGCAGUAUUUACCACCGGCAUGCUCAGUGAAACACCAAGUCGGCAUUUGUGCUUGGAUUAUAACAAAGCUUAAAGCCUUUUACUUACAGAAGGCAGAAAAGAAACACCUCAAGAUAUACUCAAAACAGAACCUCGUGGCCGACUCUGCCUGGAGCUACUCUGUCAGAGCAGUUGGAAUUGUUUUACGUAAUUGUAGUUCAUAUAAUUGUCAUUGUAAUUGACUACUGCCUCUUCUGCAGAGAAGAAAAACAUGAUGGCCGUUCAAAUAUCUAAAAUAAAAAAAACCCAGAAAAACUAUCAUUAUUCUUGGACUGCAACUGAGUUUGCAUCUCUACUACUUCUGAUAACAGCUCUUGGACGACACCAUGAAAACACUAUUUUACAACCCUUCUUACUUUGUUAUUUGGACUAUGUUUUAACCCUGUGGUUUAUGGUCAGCGAAACAAAGAGCUGCAAACCAAGCUAUUCAAGAGGCAAAGACUUGGUGCAAUUACUCACUACGUGGCAAACAUUAAUGACACAGCAGCUGUUUAGUUUGCUGCGUUAGGUGAGUGAUCUUACAUGUAAAAUUGUAACUAACUAACCUUCUAAAAAAUUAUGAUCAUCAGCACUGUAAAAUAAAGAAGAAAGUCUCCUGUACAAAGUGUUUUUAUGACACUGACUGGAACUUAAUGGAAGUUGAAGGCUUCACUCCUUUAACAAUUUUCAUAUCCUUGUUAUUAUGACCCUACUAUGAAGUUGGCUAUGAAACAAGAUCAAACAGAAGACAGAGUAUGACUUGGCUUGUGAGAAUGCUGCAGGUUUGCCAAAUGAAAUCUAAACCAGGAUUUAUUUUAAAAUAAAUGAAAAUCUACUUUCACUGGCAGUAAAAAUUAUGAUUAUAAAAAAUACAAUGGAAUCUAUCUGAGGUAACUAAUUGUUAGAUAGGGAAGUAACAGCAGUAAAGUAAGUUCCGCUUAACAGUCUUUCCAAAUGCAAAAUCAACUUGCAGAAUCAAGUUUCAGAAUAGUUUUUAGUAUCUGAAAAUAUAUACACUAUUUUUUCUUUACUCAUUACAUUUAGAACAAUUAAGUUUUAUUAAGAUUUUAGUGAACUGCCCUUUUUUGGCAAAUCUGUCCCUUUUACUGUUGAAUUCUGAAAUACCUCAAAAAAUAGGAAAACAAA